GAUGAAGAACGCAGCGAAAUGCGAUAAGUAGUGUGAAUUGCAGAAUUCAGUGAAUCAUCGAAUCUUUGAACGCACAUUGCGCCCCUUGGUAUCCCGAGGGGCAUGCCUGUUCGAGCGUCAUUUCACCACUCAAGCCUGGCUUGGUGUUGGGCGACGUCCUCUUUGGGGACGCGCCUCGAAACGCUCGGCGGCGUGGCACCGGCUUUAAGCGUAGCAGAAUCUUUCGCUUUGGAAGUCGAGGCCCCGUCUGCCGGAAGACCUGCUCGCAAGGUUGACCUCGGAUCAGGCAGGGAUACCCGCUGAACUUAAGCAUAUCAAUAAGCGGAGGA
rnacentral:misc_RNA from 1 species